rnacentral:rRNA from 1 species
UACGGAGGGGGCAAGCGUUGUUCGGAUUUACUGGGCGUAAAGCGCACGUAGGCGGAUUGUUAAGUCGGGGGUGAAAUCCUGGAGCUCAACUUCAGAAUUGCCUUCGAUACUGGCUUUCUAGAGGCUGGAAGAGGUUAGUGGAAUUCCCAGUGUAGAGGUGAAAUUCGUAGAUAUUCGCAAGAACACCAGUGGCGAAGGCGCCUCACUGGCCCGAUACUGACGCUGAGAUGCGAAAGCUUGGGGAGCAAACAGG